AACGAACGCUGGCGGCAGGCCUAACACAUGCAAGUCGAGCGAGGACUUCGGUUCUAUCGGCGGACGGGUGAGUAACGCGUGGGAAUGUUCCCUUCUCUACGGAAUAGCUCUGGGAAACGGGUAGUAAUACCGUAUACGCCCUAAUGGGGAAAGAUUUAUCGGAGAAGGAUCAGCCCGCGUUGGAUUAGGUAGUGGGUGGGGUAAUGGCCUACCAAGCCGACGAUCCAUAGCUGGUUAGGGAGGAUGAUCAGCCACCCCGGGACUGAGACACGGCCCAGAAGCCUACGGGAGGCAGCGGUGGGGAAUCUUAGACACGGGGGGCAACUCAGAUCUGGCCAUGCCGCGUGAGUGAUGAAGGCCUUAGGGUUGUAAAGCUCUAUCAGAUGGGAAGCUACUGACGGUACCCGAAGCAGAAGCCCCGGCUAACUUCGUG
rnacentral:rRNA from 1 species